rnacentral:rRNA from 1 species
AUACGGGGGGUGCAAGCGUUACUCGGAAUCAUUGGGCGUAAAGGGCGCGUUAGGCGGCCUGGUAAGUCAGGUGUGAAAGCCCGGGGCUCAACCCCGGAAGUGCAUUUGAUACUGCCAGGGCUUGAGUAUGGGAGAGGGAAGUGGAAUUCCUGGUGUAGAGGUGAAAUUCGUAGAUAUCAGGAGGAACACCGGUGGCGAAGGCGACUUCCUGGACCAAUACUGACGCUGAGGCGCGAAGGCGUGGGGAGC